rnacentral:rRNA from 1 species
UUAACGGAGAGUUUGAUCCUGGCUCAGGACGAACGCUGGCGGCGUGCCUAAUACAUGCAAGUCGAGCGGACUUGAAGGAGUGCUUGCACUCCUGAAGGUUAGCGGCGGACGGGUGAGUAACACGUAGGUAACCUGCCCAUAAGACUGGGAUAACCCACGGAAACGUGAGCUAAUACCAGAUAGGCAUUUUCCUCGCAUGAGGGAGAUGAGAAAGGCGGAGCAAUCUGCCACUUAUGGAUGGACCUGCGGCGCAUUAGCUAGUUGGUAAGGUAACGGCUUACCAAGGCGACGAUGCGUAGCCGACCUGAGAGGGUGAUCGGCCACACUGGGACUGAGACACGGCCCAGACUCCUACGGGAGGCAGCAGUAGGGAAUCUUCCGCAAUGGACGAAAGUCUGACGGAGCAACGCCGCGUGAGUGAUGAAGGUUUUCGGAUCGUAAAGCUCUGUUGCCAGGGAAGAACGCCUAGGAGAGUAACUGCUCUUAGGGUGACGGUACCUGAGAAGAAAGCCCCGGCUAACUACGUGCCAGCAGCCGCGGUAAUACGUAGGGGGCGAGCGUUGUCCGGAAUUAUUGGGCGUAAAGCGCGCGCAGGCGGCAAUGUAAG